AACUAUUCAUGGGCACUUACAGCAAGGCAACCCCAUCUUGUAGGAGGGCAUCUGUCCCCAGGGCAGGGAGCAGGAGAGCUGUUUCCAGAGGCUUCCAGGGUAACUUGGAGCAAAUCACUUACCUUUCUUGGACUCAGUCCCUGGAAGAAGAGGCCAUCCCAGACCCCUUCCUCCCAUGAACUCAUUCAUUCUGUCAGCAAACAUAGACUGGGGGUCUGCUGAGGGAGGCCGAUACAACCCACCACUGCCCACGGGCUGUGCAUGGCUUUGCUGUGGGAACAGGCCUGUAAAUGUGGCACAACCUGAGAUCUGGACAAAGGGCAGAGGAAGCUGAGACUCUUUCCCCUGGGGUGGGGGGCUUGAGGGGCUUGGGAGGACUCUCCAGAAGAGGUGGCAUUUCAACAGGGCCUUGAAAGCCAAAUGGUCCGCUCCCAUGUACCAGUACCUGGAUAGGAAACUGUUCAAGGAAGCCUACCAGAUUGCUUGCUUGGGUGUCACAGACACUGAUUGGCGUGAACUGGCCAUGGAAGCGCUAGAAGGUUUAGAUUUUGAAACAGCAAAGAAGGCCUUCAUCAGAGUACAAGACCUCCGAUAUUUAGAGCUCAUCAGCAGCAUUGAGGAUUUCCUUGGAUCUGGAGACCCCAAAGAAACAAAGAUGCUAAUCACCAAACAGGCUGACUGGGCCAGAAAUAUCAAGGAGCCCAAAGCCGCUGUGGAGAUGUACAUCUCAGCAGGAGAGCAUGUCAAGGCCAUCGAGAUCUGUGGUGACCAUGGCUGGGUUGACAUGUUGAUCGACAUCGCCCGCAAGCUGGACAAGGCUGAGCGUGAGCCCCUGCUGCUGUGCGCUACCUACCUCAAGAAGCUGGACAGCCCUGGCUAUGCUGCUGAGACCUACCUGAAGAUGGGUGACCUCAAGGCCCUGGUGCAGCUGCACGUGGAGACCCAGCGCUGGGAUGAGGCCUUUGCUUUGGGUGAGAAGCAUCCUGAGUUUAAGGAUGACAUCUACGUGCCGUAUGCUCAGUGGCUAGCAGAGAACGAUCGCUUUGAGGAAGCCCAGAAAGCGUUCCACAAGGCCGGGCGACAGAGAGAAGCGGUCCAGGUGCUGGAGCAGCUCACAAACAAUGCCGUGGCAGAGAGCAGGUUUAAUGAUGCUGCCUAUUAUUACUGGAUGCUGUCCAUGCAAUGCCUCGAUAUAGCUCAAGAUCCUGCCCAGAAGGACACAAUGCUUGGCAAGUUCUACCACUUCCAGCGUUUGGCAGAGCUGUACCAUGGCUACCAUGCCAUCCAUCGCCACACGGAAGAUCCGUUCAGUGUCCAUCGUCCUGAAACUCUUUUCAACAUCUCCAGGUUCCUGCUGCACAGCCUGCCCAAGGACACCCCCUCGGGCAUCUCUAAAGUGAAAAUACUCUUCACCUUGGCCAAGCAGAGCAAGGCCCUCGGUGCCUACAGGCUGGCCCGGCACGCCUAUGACAAGCUGCGUGGCCUGUACAUCCCUGCCAGAUUCCAAAAGUCCAUCGAGCUGGGUACCCUGACCAUCCGCGCCAAGCCCUUCCACGACAGUGAGGAGUUGGUGCCCUUGUGCUACCGCUGCUCCACCAACAACCCCCUGCUCAACAACCUGGGCAAUGUCUGCAUCAACUGCCGCCAGCCCUUCAUCUUCUCUGCCUCUUCCUACGACGUGCUACACCUGGUUGAAUUCUACCUGGAGGAAGGGAUCACUGAUGAAGAAGCCAUCUCCCUCAUCGACCUGGAGGUGCUGAGACCCAAGCGGGAUGACAGACAGCUAGAGAUUGCAAACAACAGCUCCCAGAUUCUGCGGCUAGUGGAGACCAAGGACUCCAUGGGAGAUGAGGACCCGUUCACAGCUAAGCUGAGCUUUGAGCAAGGUGGCUCAGAGUUCGUGCCAGUGGUAGUGAGUCGGCUGGUGCUGCGCUCCAUGAGCCGCCGGGAUGUCCUCAUCAAGCGCUGGCCCCCGCCCCUGAGGUGGCAAUACUUCCGCUCACUGCUGCCUGACGCCUCCAUUACCAUGUGCCCCUCCUGCUUCCAGAUGUUCCAUUCUGAGGACUAUGAGUUGCUGGUGCUUCAGCAUGGCUGCUGCCCCUACUGCCGCAGGUGCAAGGACGACCCUGGCCCAUGACCAGCAUCCUGGGGAUGGCCUGCACCCUCUGCCUGCCUUGGGGUCUGCUGGGCUGUGAAGGAGAAUAAAGAGUUAAACUGUCAGAAUGUG
rnacentral:sRNA from 1 species